rnacentral:rRNA from 1 species
UCGAGCGUGAAAGUCCUUCGGGAUGAGUAAAGCGGCGGACGGGUGAGUAACGCGUGAGAAUUUCCCUUUCAGUGAAGAAUACCUUUGAGAAAUUAAAGUUAAUACUGCAUACGUCUCGAUAAGAGAGAAAGAUGGCCUAAUUGCUGUCGCUGAAAGAUAAGCUUGCGUUCUAUUAGCUAGUUGGUGAGGUAAUGGCUCACCAAGGCGAUGAUGGAUAGCCGGCCUGAGAGGGCGAACGGCCACAUUGGAACUUAGACACGGUCCAAACUCC